CGCUGCCCUACCAGCCCACUCCUGAAGUAACUCAUGGAAAUACUUCAGGAAGUACUCUCUGCGGGGACAUGGAAUCAUCUCAGAUCCCGCAGGAGGUGGGAAUUGAGGCAUCUGGGAUGACUUCUGAAUUCCUACAAGAAUUACGAGACACUUAGGUUUGGACAUGCUGGGACUGAGGUGUCUUGGGACAUCCAG